GGGUAAUAUGGGAUUGAGUAAAACUUAUCUUUCCUAACUUUCCUCCUAAUUUAUCGCUUACCAAUAACCCAUUUCUUCCAUUAUUUUCCAAUUUCUCCCAUUUCUCAAUUUGCUCCAAUUUCUUCCUCCGAAUCAUGCAUCUGUAGGGGCACAGCGUCUCCGAUCUAGGUUUCGCGAUUUUUCCUGUUCGGCGGCUAACAACAAAGGUAGGGUUUUUUUUAUCUCUUUCACAAUUUUGAGAAUUUUUUUGAACAAAUCUAGUGCCUCGUUUUUAAUUUUCUCAUUAAUCUGAUAAUUUUCCAUCGUCUUCUCUAAACAAUUUCGAUCCUGGGCAAAUCAACCCUUGACCAAGUUUGAAUUGAUUUUACUUUGAAAACUUUAUUAAAUGCGAAUAACACAACAUAUGUUUAUUGAAAGUUCAAAAUCAAAAGUAUAUGACUUUACUUUGGUUUCGAUUGCAGAUUCGGUUUUAGAAGGUUUGUAAGAAUCAAAUGUUGCUUCGUUGAGUUCUUUCAAGUUUGCUGGGAAAAAAAAGGCUUCCCCAAUAUCUGUGUUUGUAAAACUUUUAAUUGUUGCUCUGCCACACGUUCAAAAUAUUUCUUAGAUUGUUCAAUUUAUUCUUUAUAUUUGUUCAUAAUGUUUAUUGCGAAAUUAUUAUUUGAUAAGCAUCUUAUUUGUUUUUCUGUAAUACGUGCAAAAUAUUUAUUUGGUUGUUCAAUUUAAUCUCCAUAUUUGUAAUGAUUUUGGUGUUGGACUUAUCCAUCUUUUAUGCAUUUUAUAGGAUUGAUGUUGCUGCUAUCACGUACUUAAAUUGCAAGCCUGCGGUUGGAAGUGCAGCUGAAACAAGUAGGAGUUUUAUAGUCGACUCCAUUUAACUCGAACAUCAUCGGCAUUUUGCAAUGAUGGGACACAAAAUAUUGCAAAAUGCAGGAACUGUUCGUUUACAAAAAUAUGUUCUGUUCGUUUAUAAAUUGUAUUAUGUUCAUUUACAAAUUGU
rnacentral:lncRNA from 1 species